rnacentral:tRNA from 1 species
GUCUCCAUGGCUCAGCUGGUUAGAGCGCCGGUCUCAUAAUCCGGAGAUCGCGAGUUCGAACCUCGCUGGGGACA